rnacentral:rRNA from 1 species
CCUACGGGUGGCAGCAGUCGAGAAUUAUUCACAAUGGGGGAAACCCUGAUGGUGCGACGCCGCGUGGGGGAAUGAAGGUCUUCGGAUUGUAAACCCCUGUCAUGUGGGAGCAAAUUAAAAAGAUAGUACCACAAGAGGAAGAGACGGCUAACUCUGUGCCAGCAGCCGCGGUAAUACAGAGGUCUCAAGCGUUGUUCGGAAUCACUGGGCGUAAAGCGUGCGUAGGCUGUUUCGUAAGUCGUGUGUGAAAGGCGCGGGCUCAACCCGCGGAAGGCACAUGAUACUGCGAGACUAGGGUAAAGGGAGGGGAACCGGAAUUCUCGGUGUAGCAGUGAAAUGCGUAGAUAUCGAGAGGAACACUCGUGGCGAAGGCGGGUUCCUGGACAUUAACUGACGCUGAGGCACGAAGGCCAGGGGAGCGAAAGGGAUUAGAUACCCCAGUAGUC